GAACCCUCACAUGUUAUAUUCUAAGCUGACGUUUUCAUGUUUAAUAUCUAACAGCAUCUAACAGUGAACAGUGAGCUAGUUAUUUUAUCAGAAAUCCUAGAAACAAACGAUAAUAAAGAUUUAAAAAAUAAAUACGUAAUGUCUGAAGAACAGUAUUGUGAAACUGAAUUUAUCAAGAGAAUUGCUUGUAUUGACUUUCUUUUCACAGACUACAAAUACUAUCAGCUGCAGUCAACCACAACAGUGCCACAAUUGGUUGUCAUAAGGUAGAUAACUUUGAUUUAACUACGAGAGCCUGAUGAAGAGUUUUUACAAUGAAAAGGUUCAAAACAUUUUAUGAGCACAAUCUCUUUCAAUUCCCUACAAAUAUCAAUCUACAUCUGGGAAAUGUGUGUUCUAGGUGGCUUGUUGGAACUGGUUGCAGUUUACACACCGUAACUAUUUGCUUGACUUAUGGAAAAGUGACAUCUAGGGGAGAAAUAACUAACUCCGUAGAAUUUUUAUGGACAUGUCAGCUGUCCCGUCAGCUGUUCCAUUUUGCGUGGCUUCGGACUGAUGGUGGAUGAUUGAAUGAACGUCUCUGUUCUUGAAAUUUCACUACCGACUCCGUGUGUUUUGAGCUACAUCUUGUGAAUUCAAUUAAUGCAGAGUUAUCCAAGGAGGACCAUGGCUUGGCUUUGCUAGCACGUUUUUCAUCUCCGUUAAUCUUAUAAACCCAUUUUGUACGAAAGGUGAUACGUAAAAAAGUAGUCCUUUAUAAUCUAUUUCCCUAUCUAAAUCUCUUAGUUUCUUGGAGGUGUCAUCAGGUGAUGUUAGAAUUUAUUGUUAAUUUCAAGGUUUUGUAAUUGUGCUUUCAGGUCUUCGGGAUGUACUGUGGGGGCCGCAAAAUCAUUCAGUGACUUGGUUCAAUCCAGGAUUUGGUUUUUUCAAUAGUGAUAUACAGUUUUAAUUUGCAGAGAUCCUGGAGGUACCUGAUGUGCUGAAUUAGAGUUGGAGUCGCUCGUUGAGAAAAUGGAAUGCAACCAAUGUUUUGUUGUCAGUGUAAAUAAAACAUAUCCUUUAUCA